UACGUAGGGCGCAAGCGUUAUCCGGAAUUAUUGGGCGUAAAGAGCUCGUAGGCGGUUUGUCGCGUCUGCCGUGAAAGUCCGGGGCUCAACUCCGGAUCUGCGGUGGGUACGGGCAGACUAGAGUGAUGUAGGGGAGACUGGAAUUCCUGGUGUAGCGGUGAAAUGCGCAGAUAUCAGGAGGAACACCGGUGGCGAAGGCGGGUCUCUGGGCCGCAACUGACGCUGAGGAGCGAAAGCAUGGGGAGCGAACAGG
rnacentral:rRNA from 1 species